rfam:Rattus norvegicus chromosome 10, whole genome shotgun sequence.
GGGGAUUUGGCUCAGUGGUAGAGCGCUUGCCUAGGAAGCGCAAGGUCCUGGAUUCAAUUCCCAGCCCCCA